GAUGAACGCUGGCGGCGUGCCUAAUACAUGCAAGUCGAGCGAAUGGAUUAAGAGCUUGCUCUUAUGAAGUUAGCGGCGGACGGGUGAGUAACACGUGGGUAACCUGCCCAUAAGACUGGGAUAACUCCGGGAAACCGGGGCUAAUACCGGAUAACAUUUUGAACCGCAUGGUUCGAAAUUGAAAGGCGGCUUCGGCUGUCACUUAUGGAUGGACCCGCGUCGCAUUAGGUAGUUGGUGAGGUAACGGCUCACCAAGGCAGCGAUGCGUAGCCGAGCGGAGAGGGUGGUAGGCCACACUGGGACUGAGACACGGGCCAGACUCCUACGGGAGGCAGCAGUAGGGAAUCUUCCGCAAUGGACGAAAGUCUGACGGAGCAACGCCGCGUGAGUGAUGAAGGCUUUCGGGUCGUAAAACUCUGUUGUUAGGGAAGAACAAGUGCUAGUUGAAUAAGCUGGCACCUCGACGGUACCUAACCAGAAAGCCACGGCUAACUACGUGCCAGCCGCCGCGGUAA
rnacentral:rRNA from 1 species